GGAGUCUGGACCGUGUCUCAGUUCCAGUGUGGGGGACCUUCCUCUCAGAACCCCUAGACAUCGUAGCCUCGGUGGGCCGUUACCCCGCCGACUAGCUAAUGUCUCGCGAGCCAAUCCGUAUCCGACGAAUCUUUCAAACUCGGAAGAUGCCUCCCAAGUUGUUAUGCGGUAUUAGACGACGUUUCCAUCGCUUAUCCCCCUGAUACGGGCAUGUUGCUCACGCGUUACGCACCCUUGCGCCGGUCGCCGCCAUCAGGUAUUGCUACCCGAAGCGCUGCCCCUCGACUUGCAUGUGUUAAGCCUGCCGCUAGCGUUCAUC
rnacentral:rRNA from 1 species